rnacentral:lncRNA from 1 species
UACAAUUCUCAAGGAUAAGUUUUUCAAUUACGUAACAUGAAUAUAGAAACACUUGUUGGAGAAUCCCAUUUUUUUAUUGUACAGUCAUCCUUGAUAAACAGCACAUCCUAAACAAAUGGGCCUUAUUUCACAUUACAUUACUUGUUGGGCUUAUCUAAUUCAGGUCCUAGUGUAAUGUAGUGUAAAAGGCAAGAGAUAAGCCACAAACAAGAGGGAACUAGUGAAGACUCUGAUUUUGUCCUUGAAUUCUCCUUUCCUGAAAAAAGAGAAAAUCAAUCACGUGGACUACUAGUAGCAGCACAGAUUCUCUCUACUUAAGGAUCUAUAUUUAAUCACAUGAACACAUUUCUUGAAUGUUAUGAGUCACAGGCAGAGUUAGAGAGAGACAGAAGAACACAACUCACUGAGGUUGUUCUGGUCGUCUAAACCUGAUCUAUACUGAGUAUCAUAACAACUGAAUCAUAUAAUCUCAUGAAGUGGAAUUAUAUUGAGACAGGAAGGCUUAGUAGAAGUGAAAAGACUAUUGACCAUAUAUACAUAAAACAUUAUCCCCUAGUUUCAGCUCAGUUGGUAAGCUGCCAAACAAAGUACAUAUCCCCAAUAAGGUAACAAAACUCACUAGACUUAGCUACAGUAGAUUUGCAUUACACUUACAAGUUACAAGAAUGCCUUUUCGAAGUUCUAUUAGUGUUCACUUGAACUUACCUGAAGCUGAUUUUAUCUCUUUGUGUUUUGAGCAACAAAGUGUUUUUUCAACAGACGUUUGAAGAACUUUUGAGCUAAUUACAAAAGAAUACAAUCACAAAACACAAUUAUAUGCUGAGAGUAAUCAGAGAGGUACAAGCCACAUAAAUGAAGAGAGACAUAUGAGAGAGUUGUUUUGAACUUAGUAGUUAGCAAUUGUCUAGGUUUGCAAGUACCGGAGAUAGUUGGAAGGACUCGAACAAAAAGUAGAUGAAAGAUAUGUAGAUGAAGACUCCUCAUCCUCUCCAAACUCUCAACAAAAAGUAGAUGAAUUAUAUUAAAAAUUAAAAGUUAACAAUUAAUCAAAGAAUGGACUCUUCAAAAAAAAAAUAGAAAAUGGGCCCUAGGCCAAUGUUUAUUUUAUAUACCUAUAGGCACGGCCCUGCUUGCAUCGAAGUGUCAGCUGGAUGCCUUUUAUACUAUGGCUUGCAUGACUUGAAGUUGAACUAUGCAGCCUUGCAUUCCUUUCUUCCAAAGUUCAUAGAUUACUGCUUGGAAUAAGAGCUUGCAAAUGAUAUUGAGUUUGCAACUUGAUAAGGAAGCAAUACACCAUCGUAAAAUGUCCUCAAACAGAGAAGGAGGGCUGAUAGAUGAACGAGAGAAGAAGAAGAAAUCCCAGACUUCUUCUAAUUACUCACAUGCAAAGAGUAAAUAUUCCUUAUUCUUUCGGUCUCAGUUUCAAAAAAAAGAACAAGUCUCCGGGACAUUCACUCCCCAGCUCCUCAGCCUGCUUUUGGUUGUUAAAUAACCACGAACAACCAAGCAAAAGAUAAAAGCAUCUUUAAGGAUGUUGUGCUUGAACCAUACCACCGGUUUGUAAGUGACUAAAUUGGUUAUUAGGUGCAAGCUGCACCAAGCAAGAGCAGAGAAGAG